rnacentral:lncRNA from 1 species
AUGUCCCUCAGCACCACAUCUGCCCAGCUUUUAAAUACCUCCAGGGAUGGUGACUCCAGCACUGCCCUGGGCAACCUCUUCCAAGGCUUGACAACCCUUUCAGGGAAGAAAUUGUUCCAAAUAUCCAUCCUCAACCUCCCCUGGUACAACUUGAGGCCAUUUCCUUGUGUCCCACCAUCCUUGGGAUGCUCCGUGCCUGCUCCACCAACCCGUGCUUACCUGAGCAUAGUGUUUCGGUGGCAUGUCCCCUCCACCUGCUUCUGCCCUGGGCUGCCUGGAUGUCCCCACCCACAGCCACCUUUUCUCACCUCUGCCACUGUCCCACUGGGUGUCCUUGGUCAUGUCCCUGCACCCUCACAAGCCUUUAAGGGACACAGGGCUGGUGGCUGCAGUGAUAUCCUGGUGGCCACAGCACUGUCCCACCUCAUAUUUGUGCCCCAUGCCUGGGUCAACAGGGCCUCUGUGGUGCCCAAGGGGCUGGGGACAUCCCCUGUCCCCAUGUCAAACUCCUGCCUAUUCUAUUUGUGUUCCCAUGGGGGCACCAGGGUUUUGGGGCUGUUGGCCACCAUGGAGCCUCCAGGGUGGGUGCCAGGAGAUCAUAGAAUCAUGGAAUGGUUUGGGUUGGAAGAGACCUUAAAGAUCAUCCAGUUCCAACCCCCUGCCCUGGGCAGGGACACCUCCUACCAGACCAGGUUGCUCCAAGCCCCCUCCAACCUGCCCUUGAACCCCUCCAGGGAUGGGGCAGCCACAGCUUCUCUGGGCAACCUGGGCCAGGCUCUCACCACCCUCACACCAAAGAAGUUCUUCCCCACAUCUCAUCUCCAUCUCCCCUCUUUCAGUGUAAAAACCUUCCCCCUCAUCCUAUGGCUCCCCUCCCUGAUCCAGAGUCCCUCCCCAUCUCUCCUGGAGCCCCUUGAGGGACUGGAAGGAGCUCUAAGGUCUCCCUGGAGCCUUCUCUUCUCCAAGCUGGAGAACCCCAACUCACUCAGCCUGUCCUCCCAGCACAGGGGCUCCAUCCAUGGCUCAUCUCUGUGGCCUCCUCUGGGCCCUGCUCCACCAGGUCCAUGUCCUUCUGCUGUUGAAGACUCCAGAGCUGGACACACCACACCACGGUGGGUGGCAUUUUACUCAUUUAUUUGGAGUUUUGAAGCCUGGUGCCUGCAGGAGGGGAUGAAGCAGAGCUCCUGUGAGCACAACAAACACACACAAAGACUUAAUUCCCUUAAUUAA